UUCGGAGCUGUGCGGCACGCUGAGCAGGAAUGGCAAUGUGGACCCCUGUGAUGGGACAUCUUGUGGGAUCUUACAGCCAGGUAACUCAGUGGGGGAGGGGCAUGACUAAAACAUAAUGACCACAAAGCCCAUGAUGGUAUGAGAGUAGUGGACAGAAGGGAUUUCUGAAAAACACUUUUCUGAGGCUUUAAUUCAGCUACUGGAAAGGGUUUAGUUCCGUGAAGAAGGGGACUGACUGUUCACAUCUCUUAUUUCCAGAUCUGUGGCAAAGGAGGAUGAAGGCUUAUGAGGACUCGUCAGGAAGCUGGAUAACAGAACGAGCGCAAUGUAAGCAAUUUUGUGUGUGCAUGUGGUCCCAUUACAAGGAAUACCCAAUGGCAAAUGAGCACUAAAGAUCCCUCAACCCACACAUCGAAUGUAUUGUUCCCUGAGAGCACUUGUAGAUAGAGGAGUUGGGUGGGAGAUCUGAAGUCAGGGCAUUGUUUCUAUGUAUCUGAGGAGGCUGGUUUUUGAUAUUUGUGGGGAACUAGUGGUCGUUAACUCAUUUACCCCCUAUUUGGUGGACUCUGGUUCCCCCAUCUUAAGUGCUGAGUCAGGGGCAGCUUUAACUAUUUGUUUGUUGUAGGUGCUAGAAUAGAAGACCAGAAAAUGAAAUGGUGGAGUUUGAGGCUGGAUAGACAGUUUGAAAGGUACAAAUGAUGGUUUGAAUAAAGAAAGAUAUUACGCAUGGGUCACCUCAAGUGAAGGCGCUGCAAGCACAAUGGUAAGUCUUUGAA
ensembl:processed_transcript growth arrest specific 5